CGCUGGCGGCAGGCCUAACAAUGCAAGUCGAGCGGAAACGAGUUAUCUGAACCUUCGGGGAACGAUAACGGCGUCGAGCGGCGGACGGGUGAGUAAUGCCUGGGAAAUUGCCCUGAUGUGGGGGAUAACCAUUGGAAACGAUGGCUAAUACCGCAUAAUGCCUUCGGGCCAAAGAGGGGGACCUUCGGGCCUCUCGCGUCAGGAUAUGCCCAGGUGGGAUUAGCUAGUUGGUGAGGUAAAGGCUCACCAAGGCGACGAUCCCUAGCUGGUCUGAGAGGAUGAUCAGCCACACUGGAACUGAGACACGGUCCAGACUCCUACGGGAGGCAGCAGUGGGGAAUAUUGCACAAUGGGCGCAAGCCUGAUGCAGCCAUGCCGCGUGUAUGAAGAAGGCCUUCGGGUUGUAAAGUACUUUCAGCAGUGAGGAAGGUUCAUGCGUUAAUAGCGUAUGGAUUUGACGUUAGCUGCAGAAGAAGCACCGGCUAACUCCGUGCCAGCAGCCGCGGUAAUACGGAGGGUGCGAGCGUNAAUCGGAAUUACUGGGCGUAAAGCGCAUGCAGGUGGUUUGUUAAGUCAGAUGUGAAAGCCCGGGGCUCA
rnacentral:rRNA from 1 species